rnacentral:rRNA from 1 species
UACGUAGGGUGCGAGCGUUGUCCGGAAUUACUGGGCGUAAAGAGCUCGUAGGUGGUUUGUCGCGUUGUUCGUGAAAACCGGGGGCUUAACCCUCGGCGUGCGGGCGAUACGGGCAGACUUGAGUACUGCAGGGGAGACUGGAAUUCCUGGUGUAGCGGUGGAAUGCGCAGAUAUUGGGAGGAACACCGGUGGCGAAGGCGGGUCUCUGGGCCGAUACUGACGCUGAGGAGCAAAAGCCAGGGGAGCAAACGGG